AUAAUUUGGAGGAAUAGGAACCGUACCAUUAGGAGAAGCUUGCUUGGUACCUCUUCCCUUUUCCGAAAGUGUAG